AUUACAGAGUUACACAACUCACCAAACCAUUGUGAACCCUACCUUUUACCGUUGCUUCGGCGGGAGGCGCCCCCCUCGCGGGGCGUCCCUGGCCCCUUCCCGGGGCGCCCGCCGGAGGAAUACCCAAAACCCUUUGCAGCACAUGGCCUCUCUGAGUCUUUUGUACUGAAUAAGUCAAAACUUUCAACAACGGAUCUCUUGGUUCUGGCAUCGAUGAAGAACGCAGCGAAAUGCGAUAAGUAAUGUGAAUUGCAGAAUUCAGUGAAUCAUCGAAUCUUUGAACGCACAUUGCGCCCGCCAGUAUUCUGGCGGGCAUGCCUGUUCGAGCGUCAUUUCAACCAUCAAGCCCCGGGCUUGUGUUGGGGACCUGCGGCUGCCGCAGGCCCUGAAAUCCAGUGGCGGGCUCGCAGACACACCGAGCGUAGUAGCUUUACAACCUCGCUUUGGGAGUGCUGCGGGUGCUAGCCGUAAAACGACACCUUGUCUUUAGCACUAGGUUGACCUCGGAUCAGGUAGGAGGACCCGCUGAACUUAAGCAUAUCAAUAAGCGGAGGAAAAGAAACCAACAGGGAUUGCCCUAGUAACGGCGAGUGAAGCGGCAACAGCUCAAAUUUGAAAUCUGGCUUCGGCCCGAGUUGUAAUUUGCAGAGGAAGCUUUGGGCGCGGCGCUGUCUGAGUCCCCUGGAACGGGGCGCCAAAGAGGGUGAGAGCCCCGUAUAGACGGAUGCCUAGCCUGUGUAAAGCUCCUUCGACGAGUCGAGUAGUUUGGGAAUGCUGCUCAAAAUGGGAGGUAAAUUUCUUCUAAAGCUAAAUACCGGCCAGAGACCGAUAGCGCACAAGUAGAGUGAUCGAAAGAUGAAAAGCACUUUGAAAAGAGGGUUAAAUAGCACGUGAAAUUGUUGAAAGGGAAGCGCUUGUGACCAGACUUGCGCCGGGCUGAUCAUCCGGUGUUCUCACCGGUGCACUCUGCCCGGCUCAGGCCAGCAUCGGUUCUCGCGGGGGGAUAAAGGUCCUGGGAAUGUGGCUCCUCCGGGAGUGUUAUAGCCCGGGGCGUAAUACCCUCGCGGGGACCGAGGUUCGCGCAUCUGCAAGGAUG
rnacentral:ncRNA from 2 species